rnacentral:rRNA from 1 species
CACGUAGGCGGACUAUUAAGUAGAGGGUGAAAUCCCAGGGCUCAACCCUGGAACUGCCUUCUAUACUGGUAGUCUUGAGUUCGAGAGAGGUGAGUGGAAUUCCGAGUGUAGAGGUGAAAUUCGUAGAUAUUCGGAGGAACACCAGUGGCGAAGGCAGCUCACUGGCUCGAUACUGACGCUGAGGUGCGAAAGUGUGGGGAGCAAACAGGAUUAGAUACCCUGGUAGUCC